rnacentral:rRNA from 1 species
CCUGACUUCCAUUCCGAACUCAGAAGUGAAACGAAUUAGCGCCGAUGGUAGUGUGGGGCUUCCCCAUGUGAGAGUAGGACAUCGCCAGGC